rnacentral:rRNA from 1 species
AAGUCGUAACAAGGUUUCCGUAGGUGAACCUGCGGAAGGAUCAUUAAUGAGAACUAAGGGUAGUAGUCUCGGCUAUUACUCUGAACACUCCACCCUUUGUUUAUAUUACCUUUGUUGCUUUAGCAGGCCCGCUCUCGAGCCGCCGGCACCUGCUGGCUAGUGCCUGCUAAAGAACCUAAAACUCUUGUUAAUAAUAUUGUCUGAGUACUAUAUAAUAGUUAAAACUUUCAACAACGGAUCUCUUGGUUCUGGCAUCGAUGAAGAACGCAGCGAAAUGCGAUAAGUAAUGUGAAUUGCAGAAUUCAGUGAAUCAUCGAAUCUUUGAACGCACAUUGCGCCCUCUGGUAUUCCGGGGGGCAUGCCUGUUCGAGCGUCAUUACACCACUCAAGCUCUGCUUGGUAUUAGGUCUCACCUGCUAAAGGCGGGCCGUAAAAUCAGUGGCGGUGCCAUCUGGCUUCAAGCUUAGUAAUUUUUCUAGCUUAGGAGUACCAGGUGUGUGCCUGCCAACAACCCCAAUUUUUUUUAAGGUUGACCUCGGAUCAGGUAGGGAUACCCGCUGAACUUAA